rnacentral:rRNA from 1 species
CCUACGGGUGGCAGCAGUGAGGAAUAUUGGUCAAUGGGCUUACGCCUGAACCAGCCAAGUCGCGUGGGGGAAGACUGCCCUAUGGGUUGUAAACCUCUUUUGUCAGGGAGCAACGCCGGCUACGUGUAGCCGGACUGAGAGUACCUGAAGAAAAAGCCUCGGCUAACUCCGUGCCAGCAGCCGCGGUACUACGGAGGAUGCGAGCGUUAUCCGGAUUUCUUGGGUUUAAAGGGUGCGUAGGCGGAAUGCCAAGUCAGCGGUAAAAGCGCGGGGCUCAACCUCGCUCCGCCGUUGAAACUGGCGUUCUUGAGUGGGCGAGAAGUAUGCGGAAGGCGUGGUGUAGCGGGGAAAUGCAUAGAUAUCACGCAGAACUCCGAUUGCGAAGGCAGCAUACCGGCGCCCAACUGACGCUGAAGCACGAAAGCGUGGGUAUCGAACAGGAUUAGAUACCCGUGUAGUC